CCGGCGAGAACGAAUGCAAAAGGCGUACAGUGUGAGUUGGAAAGCGAGAGCGUGCGAGUGCAGAAGCCGAAGACUAGAGUUUUGUAGAGUUGCUAGCGUUGUAGAGAGAUCGAGUUGUUGCGUUAUAGAGUUGCGAGAGUGAUUUGAGUAGAAUAAGAUUUUUGCGUUUAGUUCAAGUUGAACAUUUAUCGUUCUCUGUCCAAUUAAUCUCUGUUAUUUUUAUUUAUCUUAAUAAAUAGUAUUAGGAGAAUUUUACAAAUCUAAAUGAUCCUAAUCCUAUCCUUUUUCCGAUACUACAAUAGUAUA
rnacentral:misc_RNA from 1 species